AGAGUUUGAUUCUGGCUCAGAACGAACGGUGGCGGCGUGGAUAAGACAUGCAAGUCGAACGGGAUUUUAUUUAUAGCAAUAUAAGUAAGGUCCAGUGGCGUAAGGGUGCGUAACACGUGGGCAAUCUGCCCUGAAGCGCGGGAUAGCUUGGCGAAAGCCAAAUUAAUACCGCAUGUGGCUACUGAGGGAUUCCUCGGGAUGCUAAAGACGGCGCAAGCUGUCGCUUCAGGAUGAGCCCGCGGCCUAUCAGCUAGUUGGUGAGGUAACGGCUCACCAAGGCUAUGACGGGUGGCUGGUCUGAGAGGACGACCAGCCACACUGGAACUGAGACACGGUCCAGACACCUACGGGUGGCAGCAGUCGAGAAUUUUUCUCAAUGGGGGAAACCCUGAAGGAGCGACGCCGCGUGGAGGAUGAAGGUUUUCGGAUUGUAAACUCCUGUCAUUUGGGAACAAACCUUUCAUUUAACUGAUGAAAGACUGAUAGUACCAGAAGAGGAAGAGACGGCUAACUCUGUGCCAGCAGCCGCGGUAAUACAGAGGUCUCAACCGUUGUUCGGAUUCAUUGGGCGUAAAGGGUGCGUAGGCGGUCGCGCAAGUCGGAUGUGAAAUCUCUGGGCUUAACCCAGAAAUGGCAUUGAAUACUAUUCGGCUAGAGAAUCGGAGGGGGGACUGGAAUACUUGGUGUAGCAGUGAAAUGCGUAGAUAUCAAGUGGAACACCAGUGGCGAAGGCGAGUCCCUGGACGAUUUCUGACGCUGAGGCACGAAAGCUAGGGGAGCAAACAGGAUUAGAUACCCUGGUAGUCCUAGCUGUAAACGGUGCACGCUUGCUGUAAAAGGAAUCGACCCCUUUUGUGGCGAAGCUAACGCGUUAAACGUGCCGCCUGGGAAGUACGGUCGCAAGAUUAAAACUCAAAGAAAUUGACGGGGGCCCGCACAAGCGGUGGAGUAUGUGGCUUAAUUCGAUUCAACGCGAAGAACCUUACCUGGCCUUGACAUGCAAGUGGCAGAACCUUGAAAGAGGGACGACCCCGCAAGGGGAGCUUGCACAGGUGCUGCAUGGCUGUCGUCAGCUCGCGUCGUGAGAUGUUGGGUUAAGUCCCGCAACGAGCGCAACCCCUGUGUCCUGUUGCCACCCGGCCGAGAGGCUGGAGCACUCUGGACAGACUGCCUCGCUUAAACGAGGAGGAAGGUGGGGAUGACGUCAAGUCAGUAUGGCCCUUACGGCCAGGGCUGCACACGUACUACAAUGCCCGGUACAAAGGGAAGCAAGACCGCGAGGUGGAGCAAAUCCCCUAAAACCGGGCUCAGUUCAGAUUGUAGGCUGCAACUCGCCUACAUGAAGCUGGAAUCGCUAGUAAUGGUGCAUCAGCUACGGCACCGUGAAUACGUUCCCAGGCCUUGUACACACCGCCCGUCACAUCAUGAAAGCCGUUCGUACCCGAAGUCGUCGUGCUAACCGCAAGGAGGCAGAUGCCGAAGGUAUGGAUGGUGAUUGGGAUGAAGUCGUAACAAGGUA
rnacentral:rRNA from 1 species